rnacentral:misc_RNA from 1 species
AUACCUCAAGCCUGAUGCUUUCUUGGCGUCUUAUGCUUGGAUUUGGGCUUUGCCGUUGCCUUUGCAUAUCUCUGGCGACGGCUGGUCUUAAAUGCAUUAGCUGAUCCAUGCUUGUGUACUUGGUUCUACUCGGCGUGAUAAAUUAUCUGACCGCUGAGGACAUUUGCCCGUUGUGUGGCGAACUGGCCCAGGUGUGCCUUGGGUUGCUUCUAAUCUCGAUUGCCCCCCUGGGGUGGGUGACGAACACACUUUCAACU